rnacentral:rRNA from 1 species
CGAACGCUGGCGGCGCGUUUUAAGCAUGCAAGUCGAACGAUAAUAUGCCUUCGGGUAUAUGAGAGUGGCGAACGGGUGAGUAACACGUAGAUAAUCUGCCUUGGACUCGGGGAUAGCUCAUGGAAACAUGGGGUAAUACCGGAUAAUACUUUUCUGCUUAGUUGUGGAUAAGUGAAAGGAGCUUCGGUUCCGAUCUAAGAUGAGUUUGCGGUUCAUUAGGUAGUUGGUGGGGUAAAGGCCCACCAAGCCGACGAUGAAUAGCCGGCCUGAGAGGGUGACCGGCCACACUGGGACUGAGACACGGCCCAGACUCCUACGGGAGGCAGCAGCUAAGAAUCUUCCGCAAUGGACGAAAGUCUGACGGAGCGACGCCGCGUGAACGAAGAAGGCCGUGAGGUUGUAAAGUUCUUUUCUUGUGGAGGAAUAAUGUCAGGAGUCACUGCCUGACAGAUGACGUUAUACAAGGAAUAAGCCCCGGCUAAUUAC